UACGUAGGGUGCGAGCGUUAAUCGGAAUUACUGGGCGUAAAGCGUGCGCAGGCGGUUUUGUAAGCCAGAUGUGAAAGCCCCGGGCUCAACCUGGGAAUGGCAUUUGGGACUGCAAGGCUAGAGUGCGGCAGAGGAGACUGGAAUUCCUGGUGUAGCAGUGAAAUGCGUAGAUAUCAGGAGGAAUACCGAUGGCGAAGGCAGGUCUCUGGGCUGACACUGACGCUCAUGCACGAAAGCGUGGGGAG
rnacentral:rRNA from 1 species